rnacentral:rRNA from 1 species
GUGAACCUUUACUAUAGCUUGACACUGAACAUUGAGCCUUGAUGUGUAGGAUAGGUGGGAGGCUUUGAAGUGUGGACGCCAGUCUGCAUGGAGCCGACCUUGAAAUACCACCCUUUAAUGUUUGAUGUUCUAACGUUGACCCGUGAUCCGGGUUGCGGACAGUGUCUGGUGGGUAGUUUGACUGGGGCGGUCUCCUCCUAAAGAGUAACGGAGGAGCACGAAGGUUGGCUAAUCCUGGUCGGACAUCAGGAGGUUAGUGCAAUGGCAUAAGCCAGCUUGACUGCGAGCGUGACGGCGCGAGCAGGUGCGAAAGCAGGUCAUAGUGAUCCGGUGGUUCUGAAUGGAAGGGCCAUCGCUCAACGGAUAAAAGGUACUCCGGGGAUAACAGGCUGAUACCGCCCAAGAGUUCAUAUCGACGGCGGUGUUUGGCACCUCGAUGUCGGCUCAUCACAUCCUGGGGCUGAAGUAGGUCCCAAGGGUAUGGCUGUUCGCCAUUUAAAGUGGUACGCGAGCUGGGUUUAGAACGUCGUGAGACAGUUCGGUCCCUAUCUGCCGUGGGCGCUGGAGAACUGAGGGGGGCUGCUCCUAGUACGAGAGGACCGGAGUGGACGCAUCACUGGUGUUCGGGUUGUCAUGCCAAUGGCACUGCCCGGUAGCUAAAUGCGGAAGAGAU